CUUCCGUCGCCAGAUCCAAAACUUUCUGAUGUUGAUCUUGGGUAUAUUUUGAGUGAUUGGAAUUGAUGGAUAGUGUCAUUUGUGUAUUGUUCAAUUUUUACGGGCUUCUACUCAUGUAAUUAAGUUAGUGGUAGCAGUCUGUAUUUCCCAUGUCAGCUUCUGGUGAUGGAUAUUGAUUCUGAGAUCGUUCUGAGUGGUGACAAAGUGUCUUAGCUUGUUAGUGGCAGCAACUGUUAUAGCAACUGUUAUCAGUCUUGCGAUAUUUGGUCAAUCGGGAUUUUGUAGAGGGUUUGCUUUAUCCCAGCAUAUUUUGGGAAUCGGCUUGGUGUUCCUACAUUUUAGAGUCUUUUUCUCAGGGAGGUUUAAUUGUCAGUGUUAAUGGUGGAGCAAUCGGAACUUCAAUUAUCUAAAUUUGUGCUUGCAGAUGAG
rnacentral:misc_RNA from 1 species